UAUAUACAUAGUAAAUACUAAAUAGUUGGUAUUUCUACCGUAAUAUAAAGCAAAAUUAUGCAUAUUCAUCAAAACUUUGCUUUAACUUGCUCAAUUAGAUAUUGCAAACUACUCUUCAUCUUUGUCGACCAUAUCCGAAUGUGAUGUUGAGUUUGUGUGCCUGGUGGAUCGAUAUGAUUACGAUCCCUUCUUCUCUGAAGUCUCUCCUGCAGUCACAAAUAAACAAUCGUAUCCAGUAAAAUCUCAUUCAUAGCAAGCUAUUGAUAGGGUUAGAGAUGGGGAAAACUAGGGGUGUGAAUUUCUGACACGACCCGAAAACCCGACACGAACCGAACACAAAAUUCUCGGGUUUAGGUUUCGUAUAAACGAGUUCGGGUCAGUUUCAGGUUGAACCCGAGAAUUCAAUACGACACAUUUUUUGGGUUUUUUUUUAACUAUCAUAUUUUAUAUAGCAAUACGAUACUUAAAUUAAAGAUAAAAAAAGCUUGAUUUUAUGGUGAAGUUUUUAUGAAAAAAUAACAUCGUAUAAAAAUUAUGAACGUUUAAGAAAUGAGCGUAAAAUAUACAUAUGCGUGUGGAAAGAAAAAGUCAAUAAACAAGAGAAAUACCCUGACACUCCUUUUUUUUUUCUUACAUUUUUCAUCUUUACAUUGAUUUGAAAAAUUAAAGAAUAUCUCAUCUUGCAAAAUAAACUUUUUACUUAUCCUACCCAUAAUACCAAGCACAAUUUAUGCCAAAUAAAAAAUUGUCGUAGUGUAAGUACCUUGGUUAAUGUGAAGGAAGCACUUGGAGAACCAGCUAGAAAAUACUUCAUGAUUUCAGUAGAUAAAGGUUUUUCAAGAGGU
rnacentral:lncRNA from 1 species